rnacentral:lncRNA from 1 species
GGUCAACAAAUAACACUCAAACAUAAAAGAGAAUAAUGAAGAACAAUGCAAAAUGGAGGAGAAUAGGGGAUACGGAGGAAACUUACCUGACAAGUAUUUCCCCAUAAACUUCUCUUUACCUCGAGAAACUUGAAAAUUCUACCCUUACGCUUAUAGAAGGUAGCGAAAGGUGUAGAGAUCAAAUGUAAAAGCGAGAAUUACAAAAUUAACUCUUAAGGCUUAAUAUGGUUGAAAGGAAAUCAAAUUCUGCCCAUACGAAACUAAAGAAAUGAGGAAUAGACAACGCAACAUCAAGAUAAAAACAAAGAAAGAAAUUAUUGGAUUCAAUAUUAAUUUUCUAGAACACACAUAUAGUAAACAUAUAACACGAAAACAUAAAAGAUAAAUAAGAAGAACAACGCAAAAUUUGAGAGAAUAGGGAAUAUGGAGAAAACUUAUCGAAGAACUAAUUCCCAAUAAACUUCUCUUGACAAGGGGAAACCUAAAAAUUCUACCCUUACGCUUAAAGCAAUGUAGAGAAAGGAGUAGAGAUCAAAUUUUAAAACCACAAUGUACUUGAAAGUAAAUAAAAUUUUUUUGAUAAGAAACUAAAGAAAUGAAAAAUAGAAAACACAACAUAGAGCUCUAAAAAAAACAAUGAAAUCAAAGGAUUGAAAAUUCAUUAUCUACUAGAUACACGCAGUGAACAAAUAACACUCAAAUAUAAAAGAGAAGAAUAAAGAACAAUGCGAAAUGGAGGAGAAUAGGGGAUACGGAGAAAACUUACCUGACAAGUAUUUUCAAACAAACUUCUCCUUUCCUCGGGAAACCUGAAAAUUCUACUUUCACGCUUACCUAACAAGUAUGUGUACUAGAAAAUUAAUUUUGAAUUCGUUAAUUUCUUUAUUUGUUUUUUAUCUUGAUCUUGCGUUGUCUAUUCCUCAUUUCUUUAGUUUUGUACCUGCAUAAUUUGAUUUUCUUUCAAUGAUAUUGUUCCUUAAGAGUUAAUUUUGUUAUUCUCAUUUUUACGUUUGAUUAAGCGUAAGGGUAAAAUUUUCAAGUUUCCCGAGGAAAAGUGAGGUUUGUUUGAAAAUACUUGUCAGGUAAGUUUUCUCCGUAUCCCCUAUUCUCCUCCAUUUCGCAUUGUUCUUCAUUCUUCUCUUUUAUAUUUGAGUGUUAUUUGUUCACUGCGUGUAUCUAGUAGAUAAUGAAUUUUCAAUCCUUUGAUGUCAUUGUCUUUUUUAGAACUCUAUGUUGUGUUUUCUAUUUUUCAUUUCUUUAGUUUCUUAUCAAAAAAAUUUUAUUUACUUUCAAGUACAUUGUGGUUUUAAAAUUUGAUCUCUACUCCUUUCUCUACCUUGCUUUUAGCGUAAGGGUAGAAUUUUUAGGUUUCCUCUAGUUCAGAGAAGGUUAUUAGGAAUUAGUUCUUCCAUAAGUUUUCUCCAUGUUCCCUAUUCUAUCAAAUUUUGCAUUGUUAUUCUUAUUUAUUUUUUAUGUUUUCGUGUUAUAUGUUUACUAUAUGUGUGUUCUAGAAAAUUAAUAUUGAAUCAAAUAAUUUCUUUCUUUGUUUUUAUCUUGAUGUUGCGUUGUCUAUUCCUCAUUUCUUUAGUUUCGUAUGGGCAGAAUUUGAUUUCCUUUACAACAUAUUAAGCCUUAAGAGUUAAUUUUCUAAUUCUCGUUUUUACAUUUGAUCUCUACACUUUUCGCUACCUUCUAUAAGCGUAAGGGUAGAAUUUUCAAGUUUCUCGAGGUAAAGAGAAGUUUAUGGGGAAAUACUUGUCAGGUAAGUUUCCUCCGUAUCCCCUAUUCUCCUCCAUUUUGCAUUGUUCUUUAUUAUUCCCUUUUAUGUUUGAGUGUUAUUUGUUGACCGCUUGUGUGUAGUAAAGAAUUAAUUUUCAAUCCUUUGAUUCCUUUGUUUGUUUUUAAAAGCUUGAUGUUGUGUUUUUUAUUCCUUAUUUCUUUAGUUUCGUAUCAGAAUAAUUUGAUUUAUUUUCAAGGACAUUGUGGUUUUAACAUUUGAUAUCUACUCCUUUCUCUAUCUUGCUUUAAGAAGAAUGGUAGAAUUUUCAGGUUUUCCGUGGUAAAGAGAAGUUUAUUGGGAAUUANNNNNNNNNNNNNNNNNNNNNNNNNNNNNNNNNNNNNNNNNNNNNNNNNNNNNNNNNNNNNNNNNNNNNNNNNNNNNNNNNNNNNNNNNNNNNNNNNNNNAACAGUGCAAAAUUUGAGAGAAUAGGGAAUACGGAGGAAACUUAUUCAAGAACUAAUUCCCAAUAAACUUCUCUUUACCACGAGAAACCUGAAAAUUCUACCCUUAUGCUUAAUGCAAGGUAGAGAAAGGAGUAGAGAUAAAAUGUUAAAACCACAAUAUCCUUAAGAGUAAAUAAAAUUAUUCGGAUACGAAACUAAAGAUAUGAGCAAUAGAAAACACAACAUUAAACUUUUAAAAACAAACAAAGGAAUCAAAGGAUUGAAAAUUAAUUCUAUACUACACACAAGCGGUCAACAAAUAACACUCAAACAUAAAAGAGAAUAAUGAAGAAGAAUGCAAAAUGGAGGAGAAUAUGGGAUACGGAGGAAACUUACUUGACAAGUAUUUCCUCAUAAACUUCUCUUUACCUCGAGAAACUUGAAAAUUCUACCCUUACGCUUAUAGAAGGUAGCGAAAGGUAUAGAGAUCAAAUGUAAAAACGAGAAUUACAAAAUUAACUCUUAAGGCUUAAUAUGGUUGAAAAGGAAAUCAAAUUUUGCCGAUACGAAACUAAAGAAAUGAGGAAUAGACAACGCAACAUCAAGAUAAAAACAAAGAAAGAAAUUAUUGGAUUGAAUAUUAAUUUUCUAGAACACACAUAUAGUAAACAUAUAACACGAAAACAUAAAAGAUAAAUAAGAAGAACAACGCAAAAUUUGAGAGGAUAGGGAAUAUGGAGAAAACUUAUCGAAGAACUAAUUCCCAAUAAACUUCUCUUGACAAGGGGAAACCUAAAAAUUCUACCAUUACGCUUAAAGUAAGGUAGAGAAAGGAGUACAGAUCAAAUUUUAAAACCACAAUGUACUUGAAAGUAAAUAAAAUUUUUUUGAUAAGAAACUAAAGAAAUGAAAAAUAGAAAACACAACAUAGAGCUCUAAAAAAACAAUGAAACCAAAGGAUUGAAAAUUCAUUAUCUACUAGAUACACGCAGUGAACAAAUAACACUCAAAUAUAAAAGAGAAGAAUAAAGAACAAUGCGAAAUGGAGGAGAAUAGGGGAUACGGAGAAAACUUACCUGACAAGUAUUUUCAAACAAACUUCUCUUUUCCUCGGGAAACCUGAAAAUUUUACUUUCACGCUUACCUGACAAGUAUGUGUGUACUAGAAAAUUAAUUUUGAAUUCGUUAAUUUCUUUAUUUGUUUUUUAUCUUGAUCUUGCGCUUGUCUCUUCCUCAUUUCUUUAGUUUUGUACCUGCAUAAUUUGAUUUCCUUUUAACGAUAUUGUGCCUUAAGAGUUAAUUUUCUUGUUCUCAUUUUUACAUUUGAUCUCUACUCCUUUUGCUCCAUUCAAUAAGCGUAAGGGUAGAAUUUUCAGGUUUCCCGAGGAAAAGAGAAGUUUGUUUGAAAAUACUUGUCAGGUAAGUUUUCUCUAUAUCCCCUAUUCUCCUCCAUUUCGCAUUGUUCUUCAUUCUUCUCUUUUAUAUUUGAGUGUUAUUUGUUCACUGCGUAUAUCUAGUAGAUAAUGAAUUUUCAAUCCUUUUAUUUCAUUGCUUUUUUUAGAGCUCUAUGUUUUGUUUUCUAUUUCUCAUUUCUUUAGUUUCUUAUCAAAAAAAUUUUAUUUACUUUCAAGUACAUUGUGGUUUUAAAAUUUGAUCUCUACUCCUUUCUCUACCUUGCUUUGAGCGUAAGGGUAGAAUUUUUAGAUUUCCCCUUGUCAAGAGAAGUUUAUUGGGAAUUAGUUCUUCGAUAAGUUUUCUCCAUAUUCUCUAUUCUCUCAAAUUUUGCGUUGUUCUUCUUAUUUAUCUGUUAUGUUUUCGUGUUAUAUGUUUACUAUAUGUGUGUUCUAGAAAAUUAAUAUUCAAUCCAAUAAUUUCUUUCUUUGUUUUUUAUCUUGAUGUUGCCUUGUCUAUUCCUCAUUUCUUUUGUUUCGUAUCGGCAGAAUUUGAUUUCCUUUCAACCAUAUUAAGCCUUAAGAGUUAAUUUUCUAAUUUUCGUUUUUACAUUUGAUCUCUACACCUUUCGCUACCUUCUAUAAGCGUAAGGGUAGAAUUUUCAAGUUUCUCGAGGUAAAGAGAAGUUUAUGAGGAAAUACUUGUCCAGUAAGUUUCCUCCGUAUCCCCUAUUCUCCUCCAUUUUGCAUUGUUCUUCAUUAUUCUCUUUUAUGUUUGAGUGUUAUUUGUUGACCGUUUGUGUGUAAUAGAGAAUUAAUUUUCAAUCCUUUGAUUCCUUUGUUUGUUUUUAAAAGUUUGAUGUUGUUUUUUCUAUUGCUCAUAUCUUUAGUUUCGUAUCCGAAUAAUUUUAUUUACUCUCAAGGACAUUGUGGUUUUAACAUUUGAUCUCUACUCCUUUCUCUACCUUGCAUUAAGCAUAAGGGUAGAAUUUUCAGGUUUCUCGUGGUAAAGAGAAGUUUAUUGGGAAUUAGUUCUUGAAUAAGUUUCCUCCGUAUUUCCUAUUCUCUCAAAUUUUGCACUGUCUACUGUAUGAGUGUACGAAAAAAUUACUUUUGAACCCGUUAAAAAAACAAAAAAUGGUAAACGAACUAAUUCCCAAUAAACUUCUCUUUACCUACAAAAACUUAAAAACUCAAACCCUCUUCUUAACGCUCGGUAUAGAUAGGAGUAUAGAUCAAAUGUAAAAACAAAAAUUUCCUUGAAAGUAAAAAUUAUUAUUCGGAUACUAAUCNAAAGAUAUGAGCAAUAGAAAAAACUACAUCAACUUUUAAUAAACAACAAAGGAAUCAAAGGAUUGAAAAUUAAUUCUCAAUUACACACAAACGGUCAACAAAUAACACUCAAACAUAAAAGAGAAUAAUUAAUAACAAUGCAAAAUGGAGGAGAAUAUGGGAUACGGAGGAAACUUACCUGACAAGUAUUUCCCCAUAAACUUCUCUUUACCUCGAGAAACUUGAAAAUUCUACCCUUACGCUUAUAGAAGGUAGCGAAAGGUGUAGAGAUCAAAUGUAAAAACGAGAAUUAGAAAAUUAACUCUUAAGGCUUAAUAUGGUUGAAAGGAAAUCAAAUUCUGCCGGUACGAAACUAAAGAAAUGAGGAAUAGACAACGCAACAUCAAGAUAAAAAACAAAGAAAGAAAUUAUUGGAUUCAAUAUUAAUUUUCUAGAACACACAUAUAGUAAACAUAUAAUACGAAAACAUAAAAGAUAAAUAAGAAGAAUAACGCAAAAUUUGAGAGAAUAGGAAAUAUGGAGAAAACUUAUCGAAGAACUAAUUCCCAAUAAACUUCUCUUGACAAGGGGAAACCUAAAAAUU